rnacentral:rRNA from 1 species
GGUGAACGCUGGCGGCGUGCCUAAUACAUGCAAGUCGAGCGAACAGACGAGGAGCUUGCUCCUCUGACGUUAGCGGCGGACGGGUGAGUAACACGUGGAUAACCUACCUAUAAGACUGGGAUAACUUCGGGAAACCGGAGCUAAUACCGGAUAAUAUAUUGAACCGCAUGGUUCAAUAGUGAAAGACGGUUUUGCUGUCACUUAUAGAUGGAUCCGCGCCGCAUUAGCUAGUUGGUAAGGUAACGGCUUACCAAGGCGACGAUGCGUAGCCGACCUGAGAGGGGGAGCGCGCACACUGGAAGUGCGAACCGGUCCAGACGCCGCCGGGAGGCAGCAGUAGGGACUCUUCGGGAAGGGGGGAAAGACUGACGGAGCAACGCAGAGUGAGUGAUGAAGGUCUUCGGAUCUUAAAACUAUUUUAUUAGGGAAGAACAGAAGGGCAAGUAACGGUGCCCGUCUGGACGGUAGCUAAUAAGAAAGCCCCGGCUAACUACGUG